UUAAAAAGCUCGUAGUUGGAUUUCUGUGGGGACGGAGCGGCCGGCCGCAACUCGCGGUUCGAGCUAGCGCUUUCCCUACAUCCUGCCGCGAACCGUGCUACCAUUAGUUUGGUGGCGCCGGGGAUCGGCUCGUUUACUUUGAGAAAAAUAGAGUGUUCAAAGCAGGCCACACGCCUUGAAUAAGUUAGCAUGGAAUAAUAACUAAGGACUUCGGUUCUAUUUUGUUGGUGUUCGGGACUGAAGUAAUGAUUGAUAGGGACAGUUGGGGCGGUCCGUAUUCUAAGGCGAGAGGUGAAAUUCUUAGACCUUCGGAAGACGAACAGCUGCGAAAGCGUUCCGCUAGGAUGUUCCCUUUGAUCAAGAACGAAAGUUGGGGGAUCGAAGACGAUCAGAUACCGUCGUAGUCUCAACUAUAAACUAUACCAGCUAGGGAUCGGCCAACGUUAUUCUAUACCGACUUGGUCGGCACCUU
rnacentral:rRNA from 1 species